UACGGAGGGAGCUAGCGUUGUUCGGAAUUACUGGGCGUAAAGCGCACGUAGGCGGCUUUGUAAGUUAGAGGUGAAAGCCCGGGGCUCAACCCCGGAAUUGCCUUUAAGACUGCAUCGCUUGAAUCCGGGAGAGGGAUGUGGAAUUCCAGGUGUAGCGGUGAAAUGCGUAGAUAUCAGGAAGAACACCCGUGGCGAAGGCGGCUCUCUGGGACGGUACUGACGCUGAGACGCGAAAGCGUGGGGAGCGAACAGG
rnacentral:rRNA from 1 species